rnacentral:misc_RNA from 1 species
AAUUUUCCAGCUGCUGUUGCUACUAACAAUCAAAAGAACAGCAUCAGCACGUGUUCAACUGGGUCAAAUUUUUGCAGAGAAAUAAACGGAUUAGGUGUUAAGAGUUAACUAGCUUCAACUACUUCAUCAAAAGUAUAUGUUUGAUACUACCACUUUUAAGUUAUUUGAGAAUAUGGUUUUCUUGAUCCUGCACUAAUGUCAAUUUAAUACCAAGAGAAUAUUCUCUCAAAAAAGAAGUUUGGAAGCAAAUUGUCACAUCCACCUGCUAUCCUCAUGAUGGCUUCAG